rnacentral:lncRNA from 1 species
CUUCAUUAUCACUGUGUGCUGAAAUAGAGAAACACUUUACUAUAGUUGAUGCAUUUGUCUAAUCAUCAGAAUUAGUCAGAUAUAAAUUCUAACAACAAAAAAAACUUUUUUUUUUCUUUAUUUCUUUCUUCUGUUAUCCAUGGAACAUUUUCAAAUUCUGGAGAUAACAUCACUUGCUGUGUUGAGUCACUGAAUUUCCAAUACAGGUUGGAAAGUCCAGUCAUUGACAGUCAAACCAGCCUGAUUUUUGCAAGUGUAAUCUAUGUAUUUUUCUCAUCACUAUCCUGUCACAGAACUAGGAAACAUGGAAAAUAAUGAACACCAAAAAGAUACCAAAUUAAGAAGAGACACAGGACCAGGAUGCUGAAAUUCUUAAAAUAAUGGAAGACCAAACUACAGAUUACGUCCACAAAAAACAAAGCUUGCAGCAAAACAGAACUAAGAAGACUAGAGCUGGUCUUGGUGAAAAACUGGAUAAUCAGGCAAAUGAAGACAAGCAAAAUCAUCUUUCUUGUCCAAAAGGGUGUAUUUCACCUCCUAGUCCACCAUUUUUGGCACUUACUGUAAAUCCAGCUCAAAUUCCUGCAGUUCCAGCAGCAAAAAACAAGAUGAACAAGACGGUAGAAGAAUUGCACAUGGGAAAAACUAGAGAAGAACUGAUCAAAAAAGCUAAAGGGCUGCUGGAACAAAAUAAGCUGAGGAGAUACCAUGAAUUACACAAUCAUCUGGAUUGCUACAGUGCAGCAUGA